UACGUAGGGUGCAAGCGUUGUCCGGAAUUAUUGGGCGUAAAGAGCUCGUAGGCGGUUUGUCGCGUCUGCUGUGAAAACUCGGGGCUUAACCCCGGGCCUGCAGUCGAUACGGGCAGGCUAGAGUCCGGUAGGGGAGACUGGAAUUCCUGGUGUAGCGGUGAAAUGCGCAGAUAUCAGGAGGAACACCGGUGGCGAAGGCGGGUCUCUGGGCCGAUACUGACGCUGAGGAGCGAAAGCGUGGGGAGCGAACAGG
rnacentral:rRNA from 1 species